AUUGCAGGAAAUUGAAACCACAGAAACUAUGGAUAAAGGGAACUACUAUAUCUAUCUCUAGCUUCUUGUUAGCAACAAAUGAUGUUUUAUUAUUAUUACUUUAUUUUUAUCUUUUGGUACUGGGGAUUGAACUCAAGGGCGCUUAACCACUGAGUCACAUCCCCAACCCUUUUUAAUAUUUUAUUUAGAGACAGGGUCUCGCUGAAUUGCUUAGGGUCUCGCUAAGUUGCUGAGGCUGGCUUUGAACUCAUGAUCCGCCUGCCUCUACCUCUCGAGCUGCUGGGAUUAUAGGCAUGUGCCUCCGUGCCUGGCCAAUGUUAUUAUUUUUUGAAUAGCCUUUGAAGAACUUUUUGGUAAAAUCUUAUGUCUUCAUUUUUCUUGUUCUUUGUUAACAGCAAUUGUUACUAAUAAAGUGGGUAUAAGAGCAUACUGUAAUAGAAUUGCUACUUUUGCACUUUAGAGCAGUUAUUAAAAAAAUACAGGUUACUUGAACACAAGGCAGUACUGUCACAGUCUACCUGAUAAUUGAGGCCAUUACUACAUUGUUGGUGAAUGAUGAAUAUAGAGAAUCUGUGCACUAGAAGUAACUAGAGGUCAGAUGUUCUGGUGACAAGAGGGAAGGCCUAGUUCACCUGGUGUGGAAGCUUGUCUCUAACCCCUACUAAAACGUAUGGCCUCAAGGGAGUCAUUGAACCCUCUAUCUUCUUGUUUUGAAAACUAAGAAAGUGGUGGGAAAUCUUGGAAGGUGAUUUUGAGGAUAAAGAUAAGAUAUAGAAAAUAUUUGCCACAUUGUAAAUACUUGAUAAUAGUAGCUAUUAUUUCCCCCUCUCAACUUGUUUCAUUUUUUAUUCCUUUCUUUUUCAUUUCCCUUCCUCCUCUGUCUAUCCCUUAUUGCUUGCUAGUGGCCUAAUCUAAGGCAGGUGAUAUAUACCAAGGAGAUCUUGGUGAUGGCCCAGAGAGUUGACUGAAUGAUCCUGGCAUUACUUAUUAGGUAAAGCAUAAGAUCAAUAAAGCAAGUUGUUAGAAUCAGAAAGGGUGAAUCAUGAAGGAGUUAAAAUAAGGAAAAGGACAGAAGGCAAAACAAAUGAACAGAAGUGUGUCCCUGAGAGAGAGAAGGUGGCUACAUAUAGGGAGCGAGGUGAAGAGGCAGCACCUUCCCACAUUGGGAAACGCUAGCGACGUCAGCUCCAUACUCCUUGGAUAGCUGACACUUUCUAGAGUUCCUCGUCUCAGUGGGACAUGCCUAAUUGCAGAAAAGAUAAGAUUAAUGAGGGAACUGUUAGAAGAUUUUGCUCAUGUGGAAUAACAGAAUUCAAGUGGCUGAGGCGAGUUAGAAAAUGGUGGACUGAGUUUCUUCAUUGUUAGUGAACCUAUGAGUUAAUAGAGCUGGUGCGCGGAGAUGAGUUGACUUGCUGCAGUGGGCAGAUGGGUGCAGAGUCAUUAUGGUGUCUGAGCUGGUGAAUCACUUGGUGAAAGCAGUGUUAAGGACAUUAAUCACAUAGUAAUGUGUGGGACAAUUUGAAAGGACAAAAUGGAAGGCUAGAAGAUCAUUGAAGAGGCCGUUUUGGGAACCUAGGUGCAAGGAUGAAACGGAGAGGGGCAAAUCAAGAGAGAUGCCUGUGAUGGGCCCACCAGCAUCCAAGUGGGGAAGCAGGGAGAGGACUCUGGGAUGAGCCUGGAGGCUUGGUGACUCCCUCAGAAUACCUGGAAGAGGUGAGAUUCUCCUGCAUAGCUUGGGAGGGUGUUUGUACUGUCACUCUCCAAACCACACUGACAGCUCCCCUUGCCGUCCCUCAUGUGGCUGUAGAAUGGUUCCUGCAGCUUUUGGAAGGAUGGCUCAGCUGGUUUCAGAAGCCCAGCAUCCUUUGAGCCUAGGAUCUGCAUUUUCCCCUCUUUUGAUGCCCUUUGAACCCACUUUGGGUCCAUUCUUUAAGUCAUUACCUGAGUCAAUAUGUGCUACUCUAAUAAAAUGCCUCCAACUGAGUGGUUUAUAAAGAACAGCAAUUUAUUUCUCAAAAUUCUGGGGGCUGGAAAGUCCAAGAUCAGCUAGUUUGAUGUAUAAGAGUUGCUCUCUGUUUUCCAAGAUGGUGGCUUCUUCCUGUGUCCUCACAUGUUGAACGAAACCAAAGGGGCUAUGUGGAGGGCAGGCUGUGCUCUGCUCUGAGUCACUUCAUGAAGUGUGGAAAAGCAGUUUCAGGCUGUGCCUAAACCUGAAUUGCUCCAUGUUGUAAAGCAAUCGUUUUACAAAAGGUAGUUUGCCAUAAGCGUCUUCAUUUUCAGUGCCCAAGCAGAAUGACUGUGCACCUUGUUUGUACAAGUAAUGACACCAUCUGCCUGGCACAACCAUAAGGCACAAACUGACGAAUGAAUUAACCAUGCUAAUAAGAGUAACCACCUGUGGACUGAUGGAAUUAAUUGGAAGCACACGGAUGUGCAGGUGUAUCAAAUUCAUCUCAGAAAAACCAGACCACUGAAUGAUGCAGCCCACGCACCAGAGGCCGGUAAAAGGAAGGGCACUCUCAGACUGGACAUGGUGGCACCCUGACCCCAUCACCUGGUCACUGGUUUUGAGCUUUGCCCAGGAAAAUUGCCAUAGUGAUGAACUUCUGAUUUCCUGUCCCGUUGGGCUUCAGCAGAACAUGGUUCCUUCUGCCUGUGAUGACCCUGUAUGGCCCACUCCAAGCUGACAUCUCAAGCUGAUAUUCUAGAACUGCCAUCCAUCUGGACCUUGGCCUAGAAUAAGUUCUUGCAUGUUGAACAAGCUCUUGGUUGGUUCCUAAUCUUAUUUGAUCACCUACAGGGACCCUGCGUUAGAAUCUGCCCUCUGCCUUCCCUCUCAGUUCUGAAUCCCUGUGGCUGUCUUAACCCUUUUUUAGUCUUUCUGUGACACACACUUGAGUAUAAAACUAUUAGAAAUUAAGAUUGGAACUUGCAUUUGCCCAACUUUUGAUACCAGAUAACCCAUGAAUAUUCAGUAAACUGCCACUUAUGAAAAUGGGAGAGCACAUGAAUUUACUGUCAUUUGUUGAAUUCUGACAUUGUGGAAAGACACAGACAUGCUUGGUCUAUGUUAGUGACAGCAUGCUCCCAACAGGCUAAAUAAAUAAAUUUAAAUAAGAGGAUGGAAUCCCUCAAGCUCUUUUAUAAGGACACCUAAUCCUCUGCAUGAGGAUUGCUCAGUCACCUCCCAGAGGCCACCUGCUUAAUACUGUUGCAUUGGGGAUUAAGUCUCAACUUGAACUUGAAAGCAGACUGACUCCAUUAUUCAAACCAUCUUGGGCGCAAUGGUGGUGUGAUUAGCAAUUCCGGAGGAUGAGGCAGGAGCAUGGCAAGU
rnacentral:lncRNA from 1 species